rnacentral:rRNA from 1 species
CCCGCACAAGCAGCGGAGCGUGUGGUUUAAUUCGAUGCAACACGAAGAAUCUUACCAAGGCUUGACAUGACAGAAGUAGCUGAAGGAAACGGAUGCCAACCGUUAAGUCGGUAGCUGCCACAAGUGCUGCAUGGCUGUCGUCAGCUCGUGCCGUGAGGUGUUGGGUUAAGUCCCGCAACGAGCGCAACCCUUAUUGCCAGUUAAUUUCUCUGGCGAGACUGCCCCGCAAAACGGGGAGGAAGGUGGGGAUGACGUCAAGUCAGCCAUCGGCCCUAUGCCUUGGGCUACACACACGCUACAAUGGACUACACAAUUGGUUGCAAGAGCGCGAGCUGGAGCCAAUCCAAUAAAGUAGUUCUCAGUUCGGAUUGCAGGCUGAAACCCGCCUGCAUGAAGCUGGAGUUGCUAGUAAUCGCAGGUCAGCAUACUGCGGUGAAUACGUUCUCGGGCCUU